UUUUGCAGUUGCAACCAUGUUUUCUGUGUAUUCUCUGUAGCUAGCGUGAUAUACGUAUGCUUCUUUCUCCUUCAUCAUCCCUGGAGGGCCCUAUCUUGGUGCUUUUGAAGUAGUGAUUUUUGGUUGAAGUAGAUCGUUUCUCUGAAGUGUUGUAGCAGUUACUUUCAGGUUUCAAGGCUUUCCUGUGUGUAAAUCAUUCUUCCUUGGCUGAUGGUAGCAAGUAACAUCUGGAGUUCAUUAUCCAUUGGAAUCUUGUACAGAUUAGGCUGUGGGCUCUUUGCCACUGGAGACAUAAGAAUAAUAAAGCUGAGAUCGCUAUUCCUAAUUAAUGGGUAACAAAAUGAAGCAGAUACUGAUAAUGUGUACUCUUUUAAAGUCAUUCCUAACCAGAGCAGUUUGCAUUAUAGCAACCCACUCUGCAAAAACCGAUAUGUGCAUGAAGCAAAAAUUUCGCACUGCACACUUAUAGUUUAUUUGAUGGCCAGCACGACUUUUUUAUUGAUUUGAAAAGGAACAUUACAAUGGCUCCUUUUUUUCUCUUCUGAUUACCCAGCGAAAGAACCGGUACUAACAGCGUAGCCACGGGGUCGCAAGGAGACAAAUUGUAGGCAUACAUUUCGGAUAAUUCUAUUUGCAAGUGCCUGUGCUCCUUAUUUUCAGGUCAGUUUACUGUUUUCUAGAAUCUAUACUGCUUCUUGGCUACUUUUCUUUGUUCCCUGCAGGGAAUCAAGCAGUUCUUCGGCGGGGUAAGAGCCUCACAAUGCAAGGCAAACCAUUGUUUUAUGUGGCCAUGUUUUUUCUUAAUUUCUGGAGAUUGUUGGGCAAUUCUGAUAAGUUAAGAAACAGAACUGAAGUGUGAUAGUUGAAGAAAUAAGCUCAGAUAUACUCUCUUCUUUUUUCGGAUGCUGCAUAGUGUCACGACUGGCUACUUGAGAGUCCAUUGCCACGGAUGGUUCUGGAGCCAACAAUUCCAGUGACCCGCCGGAUAUCAGAAGCUCACUGUCUGGCAUCUCAAUGCUCUCAAGCCGCGAAGGCAUGCGGCAUGCGGCCAUUUUCAGGAAAAGGAGUUUCAGGGGGCAUCAGAUUAUAUAAACAGAAAGGAUGGUAGAGGAACACGAACUGGUGAUGGCUGGGCCUCUGAAGCAAAGGGCCGGGCAAGCUUCAUCUGUUUUUAUGUCGUGUAGAAAAAUCCCGGCCCUUUUCUUUGACAAGGCAGAAGAAUGAUUGUGCAGCGGUGCAUAACAGAAACACUCAAUAGCACAAGCUGACCAGACCUUCACAAGAACCUACCGAAUUAGGGUUUUCAAGGCGGUGGCGUGUCUGGCUAAUGUACCAUUGGGCAAUGGCAUAUUAUAGUGGCAAUUACGGGAUAUGAUCGUAUCGUUCCAGGUUA